rnacentral:lncRNA from 1 species
AUGGAAAAUCUAAAUGCUGAAUUUGUUUCAAAAAGGAUUAUUGAAGAGCUACAGCAUUUGAAGCUUGAUAUUAAUUACAUCGUUGCCCAGUGCUUUGAUACAGCUUCUCUGCUGAGUGGGCAUUUAACAGAUGUACAAGCUCGCACUCAGGAAAGGAUUACACAUGCCAUUUAUGUGCACUGCCAUGCUCACAGGCUUAAUCUUGUCAUUGCAGGCACAUGUUCCAGCAUCACCCAAUGUCAGGAAGUCUUUGCGUUUGCUCAGGACCUGUACAUCUUUAGCAGUAGUUGCAGGCACCAUGAACUGUUUGUUAAGGCACAGCAAGAGCUAGGCCAGAAGGUGCUUGAGCUAGGUAGAUUAUGUGAAACUCGCUCGUGCUGGUUUGACUCCCUCCAAAAACUGCAUGCAAGAUGGAAACACUUGGGAGCCAUUUCAGUUCAGAGAGCUGAUGGCCCAUCGGCUAGCACUGGCGAGGGUUUGAUGGCAAGGCUAAAGUGCUAUUCCUUUCUGUUGAGGCUCUUGGUUUCGGGAAGAAUAUUCAAGAUUUUUAAUAAUAUUUCAGAAUUACAAAAUGAAAACCUGAAUUUAUCUAAUGCCAUGGAAUUAGUAGCAAUCAAUGUUGCUGCUCUUCAAGAAAUGAGAACAUCUGAAAGCAAAUGGAAGGAGCUAUGUGAUGAAGCUGAAAUCAUUGCCAAGGAAUUUGAAAUUGCUAUUCCGGGUCAGGCAGUCGCAACUGCUGAGCACAGCAAUACAAAAACGGCAAUAAGACCUAAAAAAAUAACCUCCAAGCUGGCCUUGUUUUUUGUUUUUAGUACACUGGGUCAGUCAUCUCCACAUGAUGUUCCCAAGAGCACGCAUGAAUCUAUAAAAUCUGAUUUUUACUAUCCUGUUUUGGACAGUAUUCUGGCAGAGCUCAAUAGACGAUGCACCUUCAACUCCAGUUUGCUUUCUGUACUAACUGCGUGUGACCCAAAGAGUGAAAAUUUUCUUGCAUAUGAGAAACUGAAAAUAAUUGCAGAUCACUAUGGAUCAACAGGCACCGAUUUUGACAGUCUGGAUGCAGAAGUCGAAGUUGCUGAGAAGCACAUUGCACCAAAAAAUGGACUUCAAUUUCUGAAUUCUGGAUGUUCUCAUGGACUUAGCAAGGGCUUUCCAGUCUUUGCUGUCUAUUGUAGAUAUUGUGUUGAGCCUUCUAGUGUCUACAGCAUCAAAUGGAGAGGUAUUUCUCUGUGCUCAGAGAGUAAAGAACUACUUAGAAUCCACAGUGGGAGACAAGCGCUUAGGUGA